ensembl:lncRNA
CUUGCUUACAAAACAAACAAACAAAACAAAACAAAACAACAACAACAACAAAAAACCAUGAGCUGUCAAUGUCCAAGUAUUAAUGUCUGCAUGUGUCACAUUCGAAUUCCAGUCGUAGCUGACUCUUACGUCACGUGUUCGCGAAGAAUUUUCUAAUCAACUGUUACGUCUUUGAAUCAAUCCGUCUAUAUAUUAGCAAGCAAUCAAUUUCAAAAACUUCUAGCAAGCAAUUUUGACAGAGACUGAUCAACAUAUUCUGUACGAAAAUGUCAGAAGUCAUAAAUUUAUUUGAACUUCUAAAGCAGUGCGACGACACUUACGAUAAGCUGUUCACUCUGCUGUACAGUAUCCUCUGUAUGCUGGAGCGCCUUGAAGCCGAGAGAGAGGCAGCGGAUGGAAGGAAAGCGGACGUUGGCCACGAUGUCGCUGAGUCGCAGCCGGAUGAGAAAAGCUCGAGUGUUGAUGAGCAGAAGACGGCGUUGGAGAAACUGUCCAGCGGUACAGAGCUGCUGAGCCUCUCCACCUCGGACAGGAGCGGACAAGUGGAGGACAGCGAGGAAGGAGUGUCCAAGUGUCUCAUUCAAGACUUGGUAAACAAGAAUCAGGAGCUCAAGGAGGAGAUAUACAGCCUGAAGAAAGAAGUGGAGACGCUUAAAAAUCAGCUUAGUCAGAUCUUGCUAAACCAACAAGAUCGUCUGGUCUUUGUAUCUGGUGGAGCCCUACACCAGCUAACUGGCCAGGCCCAGUCCCAGGUCAGCAGGGAGGUUGAGCAUGUCCCAGAGACACUGGAAGCUCUGACGGACGUAGGGGAACUACAGAAGAAGCAAAGAAAUAAAAAAAAGUAAACAAACGCUGAAAAGCGGGAAAAGAAGAAACAAAAGACCAAA